GGACUACCCGGGUAUCUAAUCCUGUUUGCUCCCCACGCUUUCGUCCCUGAGCGUCAAUCCAGGCCUAGUGAGCUGCCUUCGCUAUCGGUGUUCUAUGACAUAUCUAAGCAUUUCACCGCUACAUGUCAUAUUCCGCCCACUUCGACCGAAUUCAAGACUUACAGUAUCAAUGGCAGUUCUGCAGUUGAGCUGCAGGCUUUCACCACUGACUUAUAAAUCCGCCUGCGGACCCUUUAAACCCAAUGAUUCCGGAUAACGCUUGCACCCUCCGUAUUACCGCGGCUGCUGGCAC
rnacentral:rRNA from 1 species